AUUUAGGAGAAAACAAAAAUCAUUAAAAACUUGAAACCAAAAAAAGAGAAAAAAAAAAUGGCAGAGGAGGGACAGGUGAUCGGUUGUCACACCGUUGAUGCUUGGAACGAGCAGCUUCAGAAAGGAAUUGACACCAAAAAAUUGUGAAAUACUUGUUGUAAGGUGACGAGGUUGCUCCAGUAAUGAGAUCACUCCACUUCCAGCCAAGAGGUUGGUAGUUUUAGUCACAGAGACGCAAAGUUGUAAAAUGACCACUCUAACUUCUCUAAAGAGGUUUGGGUGGUGUAACAAUUGGAUCUAACUGAUUUCUCAUCUCAUUCUGAUAUGGGAAUUGCCAGAGUGCAAGCUUCAUAGAGAACUCCCUUUCAAGUUCAACUUAUUACGGUCCAUGGGCUAUUACAGUAACACCCUUUUACGUACUCAACGUCCUCCUGAGGUUUGCUCCACCACUGUACUAGGUGAGGUACUAGCUUUGGUAUCAUUGUAACGCCCAAGCCCAAUUGCCUAGGUAUUGCCCGCUUUGGCUCAACUUUUGGAGUCUCACAGUUUUGUCCCCUUAGGUUUUAAUCCAAAAGGCACAUCAAUAGUUGAAACUUGAACUCAGCCUUAUAAGGGUCCUAAUUUUUUCCUUCCAUUCUAAUGUGAAAUUUGCACAAGGAAAGAGUCACCGCGUACCCCUCUUCGAGUUCAACUGUUAGCAUUUGUUCGCUAUUACAACUGGUGGGUUUGCUGGAAGAAUCUAUGAUAUAUUUUACAAAGCUGGUCUAAGAGGAGAUGAGGUGGUACAUCUCAUUCGCUAGGAUUACUAUUUAUUUUUUUCUUUUUAGUUUUUGUCUUUUUCUCAACUUCCCUACUAUUUAGUGCUCUACUAUUGCUGUUAUUGUAUUAUGCAUUUUGUAUGGUACUAAUAUAUCGGCUCCUGUUGCUUUUUUUGAGCUGAGGGUCUCCUGGAAACAGCCUCUCUACUCUUCGGGGUAGGGGUAAGGUCUGGGUACAUAUUACCCUCCCCAGACCCCACUUGUGGGAUUAUACUGGGUCGUUGUUGUUGUUGUUGUUGUUGUUAGUGCUCUACUAAGAAAAUUGGAAAGCCACUUCAUUAAUUCUAUUAAUUAGCCUCCUUCUCUCUUCUUACAUUUAUCUUUUCUCUUCUUUUUUUCAAUUACCCAACAAUUAAAAUUGAAUCAGGCUUUUCCGUACAUGUUCCCUCUGGUCCAUGUUAAAUGAUUUUUUAACCUUUUACAUUUGGUCCAAACUAAGUGAUUAAAAAAAAAA